UCUUGCUCUCUUCCUUGGAUUGCCUGCUAUAGGGAAGCUGGCUGCCAUGUUGUAAGAGCAUUCAAGUAGACCUAUAGAGAGGUGUGGUAAGGAACUGAGGCCUCCAGUCAACAGCCAUCUUGUGAGUGAACCAUCUAGAAAACAGAUCAGCCAAGCCAAGUCCAGACAGCUCAAUGCAAUCUCAUGAAAGAUACCAAGGUGGAGCCCUGUGCUAAUGAGGAAAGCAGGGCGUCAGAAUACUGCUCUCCUCUGAUAGAAAGCACCCUGCUGAUUGCUGUACCUGGGCAGAGCCCAGCGCUGUGCACACAGAAACAUCCUGAUCUCACCGACCAGCUCUGCAAUGGGUUCUUUUUGUCCAGUAAUGAACAUGAGAGCAAAACUUAACAGCACUGUCCUAUGCAACUUUGUGUGAUGAUGGAGAUGUUCUCCUGCACUGUCUGUCAAGACAGUGGCCGCCAGUGCACGUGGAUACUAAGAACCUGAAAUAAAGCAAGUGCAAGAGGAACUGAAGCUUUUCUCUCCUUUAAUCCUAAUUAAUUUAAAUUUGCAUAGCCACAUGUGGCUAAUAGUUGUCACUCUGGGCAGGACAGUGGUAGAAAACAGGAACCAUUGCCCAUCGGCACACCAACUCAUCUUUAGAAAGAUUUUAUGAGUCUCAUUUCUCAUAUGAGCAUAUUUAAGGCUCACGGGGGUAAGUGACAUGCCCAUGAUCAAAAAGCUGGUAAAGGGCAGAGAAGAAUUUACACUUAACCUGCCAGACCCAGCCUCCACUCCUGCAAUGACGUCAAACUGCAUUCCUCCAUAUUCGUGUAAAAGCAGCCUCUAAGGCAAGUAUCAGCCUCUGAAAACUCCAAAUUCUCAGUAAAUAGCUAUGAAAGGAAGCUGGCCAUGUGUGGCAGGAUUCCUUCCAACAAAAACACAUGGGAAAAUAUUUCUCUCCAGCUAUGACUAUCUAUGUGAGUCUUUCAACUGCACAUUGCUGUAAGUAUAUCUGACAGCCCCCACUGUGCUCUAAAACUUCUGCUCCAAGGAAGCAGAAGCCCCAUGAAUUCGUGAGAAGGCAACAAUAUGAAAACGAUUUUAUUAAACUUCCGCCACAUCCCAUUACGCUGUCUAAGCAUUAUACUCUCCUACUUACCCUUUGCUGACAAACUGGAUUAUACUUUCUUUCCUAAAGCAACAGGAUCUCACGAAACUGUGCAAAAGAUAAAGACACUACGAUUUCAAAAAACUGAUUUGGACACAGAGUGUCAAAGGUAUGACUUUAAAAGGGGGUUAGCUAUACUGAAGGCAGCUAAUCUACAGAGUCAUAUCGUAAAUUCUGUCUUGAACUCUAGGUAAAAUAGUUCACAUUAUUGCAAUGCCACAAACUCACUCCAAAAUCCACAGGCCUCCAUUCAGAUACUUGUGUGUCCCGUAUCCAUAAUGAAAACAGUGCUAUCUCCAUAAAUCUCUCCUUUAUUCAGAGGGACCCAGUUUGCAGCCCAAAUUAAGACGCAGGGUGGCUAAUUUGUUGAAAUUAGGCGGGGAGAACAUCACAGUUUUUUGUGGACACAACUAACAUCCUUUGGUUCCACUACAGCUUUCAUAUUGCCAAGGGGAUCGAGGAUAUUCCUUAAUAUUACCCUACUCGGGUAAAAUCAAAGAGAUAAUGGGAUGAUUAGCUGAAUCAUGGGUAAAGAAGUAGAGUAAAACCACAAAUUUUGGAGGAUCAAAGCCUGGCUGCAAAAUAUAUAUAUAUAAAAUAAGCUAAGUGUGAUGAUUCUGUUAUAUGAAAAAAAUCCAUUUUUUAGAUUAGAGCUAGUGGACUCUGGCAGCAAGAGCUGUACAAGGUCUUAGAAUUAGUCUCAUCAAAGCCUGCACUUGCUAUCUUGCAGCACAUGACACUAUCCUACGGUCACAAAUUCAGCUCCUCAAUCUGGUAUCACGUAAACAAUGUGAAUGGGUGAGUGGCUAGUGGAUCACAGAUGACCCAGGUGGGGUCUGUGUGUCUUCCCCCUUGAAUCCAGUGGGGCCUUGACUACUCUGACCCGCAGAAGAGUGCAAGUGACAUUGUGCAGGUCUCUAGGCCUCAACCUUAAGAAACAGGCAGCUUCUAUUUCCUGCCUUUUGGCACACUUGCCAGGGGCCAUGAGCUCCCAUGUAAGAAGCCCGAGUACCCUGAGACCACCAUGCAAGAGACCACGUGCAGGCACAAAGUCAAUAGUUCUGGCUGAGCCCGCCCUCCCAGCCAUCCCCGCCAAAGGGGCCAACCACGGGAGUGUAGCCAUCGCAUGAAGCAGGUGAAUACCAUGAAGUGAUUCCCACUGAAGCCUGUGGAACAGAAGAAUAACCCAGCCAAGCCUGUCCUGACCCACAAAACCGACAGAAAAUAAAACAGUUUUUGCUGUACAUCUUGCAAUUCUGGGGGCAGUUAUCACAUACCAAUAGAAAACUGGAAAAAACAGAGUGUUUCUACUAUCUUCAGCUUAUCUAUGCUUCCUCUAAAACCACCUUUUAAUUGUUCUGAUUAAAUAACAUAACUGUACAUUUGCUAAAUACUAAGCCUAACCCUAACCCUGA